GGACGGGUGAGUAACGCGUGGGUAACCUGCCUUAUACCGGGGGAUAACAGCCAGAAAUGGCUGCUAAUACCGCAUAAGCGCACAGAACCGCAUGGUUCCGUGUGAAAAACUCCGGUGGUAUAAGAUGGACCCGCGUUGGAUUAGCUAGUUGGCAGGGCAGCGGCCUACCAAGGCGACGAUCCAUAGCCGGCCUGAGAGGGUGAACGGCCACAUUGGGACUGAGACACGGCCCAGACUCCUACGGGAGGCAGCAGUGGGGAAUAUUGCACAAUGGGGGAAACCCUGAUGCAGCGACGCCGCGUGAAGGAAGAAGUAUCUCGGUAUGUAAACUUCUAUCAGCAGGGAAGAUAAUGACGGUACCUGACUAA
rnacentral:rRNA from 1 species